rnacentral:lncRNA from 1 species
AUGCUUUGGUUGCCCAGAGGGACAGCAGAGAAGGGGAACCCUCGGUGUUUUCCCAUCCCAAGUCCGCUACAGCCCAGGAAAAUCCCCAGUUUUUGCUGCUUUAAGAACACCGAGUCUGGAGAAGCCAAAACCGAAUAGUUCCAGCAGAACCCGAUGAAGAAAACCGUCUUCCCUGAAGGUUUGCCCUUUCUGUUGGUGGGUGAAAUGCUCUGACUGGUCCUGCCUCUCCGUGACUCUCGGCGAGAUGCCGCUGGCUUCACCUCUCCACCCCAGCACUAACGAACCCACGGGUUAAUAUUUAUUAGGGGCCAGGGAGUGUGCCAACACGUGCGGCCCCAGUGAUUUUGGGGGCACCGCAGAUCCUUCUGCCCCCUCAUUUCUUCCCGUUACCGCCCAGUGAUCACAGGGGACCUGGCCCCGGUUGGGACGGACCCGAGCCAGCCCCAGCAGCUUGCUCUGAGCCUUCGGGAGAUUUUUUCUUUGCCAGACUCUGCUAAAAUUGAGCAAUCCCUCGGCGCUCGCCGCCUGCCCCGGUCCCGGCGCUGGAGCGGCUCUCAGGCGCCUUUCUGCACAGCGCUGCCCCCGCCGCGCUUUAGCUGCUCAUUCAAGCGGCGUUUCCUCUUUCCUCAUCUCUUUUUAAGGGUAUUUCACCCAAUUUUGGCUCACAUGUGCUCUUCAUGCAGCUGUAAGCGGCUUCACCACCCCUUCACGUGCUGGGUGGGCAGCGGGACUCGGACGCUGCAGGCGUCAUCGCCAAAGCAACCCCGAGAUAAGAGGACUAGGGCACUGUUUUUGCCUUUCUUCUCCAUUUUUACCGUUCCCAUUUAGGCUCGCGGGCUGAGAAGGGAAAGCUUCUGCUUUAGCAGAGCCAUCGGUGCUCAGAAAGCAAGGUGCCAGCACCGGGUGCUGGAGAUUUUUGAUGGCGCAGCCCAAAAAUGGGGGCUCAGCCUCACGCCUUGGGUUUUGGCGGCCUCACGAGCGGGGGUUUGGGUGCAGCAGCGCUGCUGGGGACGGGGCAGAGCUCAGCGCUGCGGCCAGCGACGGAGAGACAUGGGAUAAGGGUCAGUGCCCGGCCUGCAUGCUCCCAUCUUGGGUGCUCAGAUCUCAAAUGCUGGGAAGCUCAGAGACUUGGAUCUUGGGUGCUCAGGUGCUCCGAUCUCAGAUCUCGGGUGCUGGGAAGUUCGGAUGCUUGGAUUUCGGAUGCUCAGAUCUCGGCUGUUUGGAUUCUUGGAAGCUCAGAUCUUGGAUGCUUGGAUGCUGGGAAGCUCAGAUCUCGGAUCUCAGAUGCUCAGAUCUUGGAUAUUCGGAUUCUUGGAAGCUCAGAUGCUCAGAUCUCAGAUGCUCGGACGCUGGGAAGCUCAGAUCUUGGAUCUCAGACGCUCGGAUCUCAGCUCUCGGAUGCUCAGAUGCAGGGCAGAAGUUGGCCACCUCUGGGAAGGGGAAUCAAAAACCUCAUUUGCUUGCAAACGCAAAAUCACCCGUGGUUUUCCUCCGCACAGGCAGCCCGGCUGGCUCACCCUGUCCCAGGCAGCCGGGAUGGGCAGGAUGCGGCCCCCACAGCCCCCACCCGCCCGGCAGCAGGGUGGCACCGAGGGCAGCUGGGUGCUGGGGUGCUGCCGGCAGCGCCCGUGGGCAGGAGGACGCCGGAGAACAACCCACGGGGGAGGAACUGGCACCUCCCCGGGCGGUUUUUGCUGCCAUGGGGCAUUUUCGGGGCCGGAGCUGCACGGGGGCAGCGGCCCGGCUCAAAGGUCCCGCGGAGCCCCCGGGGGCUCCUCCAAGUUCAUCAGCCGAGCAAAUCAUUAACGCUCGCCGCAGCUGCUGCGCCCGGGGACCUUCGGACCGCGGCGGGGCCGCAGCGCGCGCGGGAGGGCGCGAGCACCUCUGUGCGCUCGCACGCGCACGUGCAAGCCCCACGUUUGGGCACACGCGUGGCGGCGUCCCCCGCCCCCCGCACGGUCCCAAAUCCUGCCCCAAACGUGGGGGGGCUGCCAAAAGGUCUCUGCUGCACCCCCAGGAGCCCCCCCCCCAAGGAGCAGGGAGGUGGCAGCCGGCACCCAGCACCUGCGGCGCUGGGCGUGCGAGGGGCACGCGGGGGUGGCAGAAAGCCACGGCCGCCUGUCCCCUGCCCCGUCCGUGUCCCCACGCCGUGCCCUACCUGCUGGCUGUGCUGCUCCCCCCUCGCUGGGGCCUGGCUCCGAGAGCUUCACCUGCGGCAGAAACAAACGGGCACUGGUGCACCACCCCAGACACUCGUGCGUCCCCCUGCGCACUCCUGCGUC